AUACGUAGGGGGCAAGCGUUGUCCGGAAUUACUGGGCGUAAAGAGCUCGUAGGCGGCUCAGCAAGACGGUCGUGAAAGCCCGAGGCUCAACCUCGGAACUGCGGUCGAUACUGCUGUGGCUAGAGUCCGGUAGAGGAGAGUGGAAUUCCCGGUGUAGCGGUGGAAUGCGCAGAUAUCAGGAGGAACACCAGUGGCGAAGGCGGCUCUCUGGGCCGGUACUGACGCUGAGGAGCGAAAGCGUGGGGAGCAAACAGGAUUAGAAACCCCAGUAGUCC
rnacentral:rRNA from 1 species